UACAGAGGUCUCAAGCGUUGUUCGGAUUCAUUGGGCAUAAAGGGCGCGUAGGCGGCUCGGCACGUCCGUUGUGAAAUCGCCCGGCUCAACUGGGCGGGGUCAGCGGAUACGGUCGAGCUUGAGCAAGCUAGGGGGCAAUGGAAUUCCCGGUGUAGUGGUGGAAUGCGUAGAUAUCGGGAGGAACGCCCGUGGCGAAAGCGAGGUCCUGGACGUUUACUGACGCUGAGACGCGAAAGCCAGGGGAGCGAACGGG
rnacentral:rRNA from 1 species